GAUCAUGGCUCAGGACGAACGCUGGCGGCGUGCUUAACACAUGCAAGUCGAACGAGAAUCUACUGAAAGAGUUUUCGGACAAUGGAAGUAGAGGAAAGUGGCGGACGGGUGAGUAACGCGUGAGGAACCUGCCUUGAAGAGGGUGGACAACAGUUGGAAACGACUGCUAAUACCGCAUGAAGCAGUAGGGGUCGCAUGAUUCUUAUGACCAAAAGUAUUUAUCGCUUCAAGAUGG
rnacentral:rRNA from 1 species